UAGGGAAUAUUGGUCAAUGGAGGCAACUCUGAACCAGCCAUGCCGCGUGCAGGAAGAAGGCCCUCUGGGUUGUAAACUGCUUUUAUACAGGAACAAAUGACUCUUGCGAGAGUAGCUGAGUGUACUGUAAGAAUAAGCCACGGCUAACUACGUGCCAGCAGCCGCGGUAAUACGUAGGUGGCAAGCGUUGUCCGGAUUUAUUGGGUUUAAAGGGUGCGUAGGCGGCCUUGUAAGUCAGCGGUGAAAACUUACAGCUUAACUGUAAGACUGCCAUUGAUACUGCAGGGCUUGAAUUCAAACGAGGUUGGCGGAAUUAAAGGUGUAGCGGUGAAAUGCAUAGAUAUCUUUAAGAACACCGAUAGCGAAGGCAGCUAACUAGGAUGAUAUUGACGCUGAGGCACGAAAGCGUGGGGAGCAAACAGGAUUAGAUACCCGCGUAGUCC
rnacentral:rRNA from 1 species